rnacentral:rRNA from 1 species
CCUACGGGAGGCAGCAGUGAGGAAUAUUGGUCAAUGGACGAGAGUCUGAACCAGCCAAGUCGCGUGAAGGAUGACUGCCCUAUGGGUUGUAAACUUCUUUUAUAUGGGAAUAAAAUGUUCCACGUGUGGGAUUUUGUAUGUACCAUAUGAAUAAGGAUCGGCUAACUCCGUGCCAGCAGCCGCGGUAAUACGGAGGAUCCGAGCGUUAUCCGGAUUUAUUGGGUUUAAAGGGUGCGUAGGCGGAUUGUUAAGUCAGUUGUGAAAGUUUGGGGCUCAACCGUAAAACUGCAGUUGAAACUGGCAGACUUGAGUACAGGAGAGGUAGGCGGAAUUCGUGGUGUAGCGGUGAAAUGCUUAGAUAUCACGAAGAACUCCGAUUGCGAAGGCAGCUCACCGGACUGCAACUGACACUGAGGCUCGAAAGUGUGGGUAUCAAACAGGAUUAGAUACCCCAGUAGUC